AGGUGUGAUCAUACCAGGACUAAUGCACUGGAUCCCAUCAGAACUCCAUAGUUAAGCAUGCUUGGGCUAGAGUAGUACUGGGAUGGGUGAUCUCCCAGGAAGACCUAGUGUUGCCCGCU
rnacentral:rRNA from 1 species